rnacentral:tRNA from 1 species
GCGAGAAUAGUAUAGUGGCAGUACAUUUGCUUCCCAAGCAAAGGGCAGGGGUUCGAUUCCCCUUUCUCGCA